rnacentral:tRNA from 1 species
GCUGUUAUAGCUCAGUGGCAGAGCACUUCCUUGGUAAGGAAGAGGUCACGAGUUCAACUCUCGUUAACAGCU